rnacentral:rRNA from 1 species
CGCGUAAACGGUCUUGUCGGUCAGAUGUGAAAGCCCAGGGCUCAACCCUGGACGUGCAUUUGAAACAGCAAGACUUGAGUACGGGAGAGGAAAGCGGAAUUCCUGGUGUAGAGGUGAAAUUCGUAGAUAUCAGGAGGAACACCGAUGGCGAAGGCAGCUUUCUGGACCGAUACUGACGCUGAGGCGCGAAGGCGUGGGUAGCGAACAGGAUUAGAUACCCUGGUAGUCC